AAGCCUCCGUCUCGAAUCAAAUCAAAUCUUCACGUACCAAACGGUCAAUGACUUCGGGAUAGCAAUAAGGUGAAAGUGAAUGGGCAGGCAGCGCUUUGGCGGCCGAGGCGUGGGAAGGGGCCGAUUUCAGGGCCGAGGCACCGAAGCCCCAGAUGAGGAGGCCAGAACCACCUCUCUUUCUCUCCAGCGAGGACCGACCCGUCUGAGGCUCUGCACUCGCCGCUCCCUCACGCUCCCCCGAGCUUCCCCCCGCCCCAAACCUCACAGACACACACACACACUCACUCACACACACACACACACACAGAGCCAUCCCUUCAUUGGGGAGAACAAAUAAAACCCCGCCCAAGAAGGACUCAAGCGCGCUUAUCAUGCAAGAUGCCCGGGCUCCCGGUGAUCCUCUCUCCUCUCCAGGCUGGACC